rnacentral:rRNA from 1 species
GAGUUUGAUCCUGGCUCAGAUUGAACGCUGGCGGAAUGCUUUACACAUGCAAGUCGAGCGGCAGCGCGGGGCAACCUGGCGGCGAGCGGCGAACGGGUGAGUAAUGCAUCGGAACAUGUCCAUGUCGUGGGGGAUAGCCCGGCGAAAGCCGGAUUAAUACCGCAUGUGCCCUUUGGGGGAAAGCCGGGGACCGCAAGGCCUGGCGCGAUUGGGUUGGCCGAUGUCCGAUUAGCUAGUUGGUGGGGUAAAGGCCCACCAAGGCGAUGAUCGGUAGCUGGUCUGAGAGGAUGAUCAGCCACACUGGGACUGAGACACGGCCCAGACUCCUACGGGAGGCAGCAGUGGGGAAUUUUGGACAAUGGGGGAAACCCUGAUCCAGCCAUUCCGCGUGAGUGAAGAAGGCCUUCGGGUUGUAAAGCUCUUUUGUCCGGAACGAAACGGUUACGGCUAAUACCUGUGACUACUGACGGUACCGGAAGAAUAAGCACCGGCUAACUACGUGCCAGCAGCCGCGGUAAUACGUAGGGUGCGAGCGUUAAUCGGAAUUACUGGGCGUAAAGCGUGCGCAGGCGGUUUUGUAAGCCAGAUGUGAAAUCCCCGGGCUUAACCUGGGAAUGGCAUUUGGGACUGCAAGGCUGGAGUGCGGCAGAGGAGACUGGAAUUCCUGGUGUAGCAGUGAAAUGCGUAGAUAUCAGGAGGAACACCGAUGGCGAAGGCAGGUCUCUGGGCUGACACUGACGCUCAUGCACGAAAGCGUGGGGAGCAAACAGGAUUAGAUACCCUGGUAGUCCACGCCCUAAACGAUGUCGACUGGUUGUUGGGGGUUUGACACUCUCAGUAACGAAGCUAACGCGUGAAGUCGACCGCCUGGGGAGUACGGCCGCAAGGUUAAAACUCAAAGGAAUUGACGGGGACCCGCACAAGCGGUGGAUUAUGUGGAUUAAUUCGAUGCAACGCGAAAACCUUACCUACCCUUGACAUGUCCGAGAGCCCGAUGA